CAUUAAGUAACUUAAUUAAAGUAUUGGUCUCUUAAACCAAAUUAUAGUAUAUAAAAAUACUCUUAAUG
rnacentral:tRNA from 1 species